CUACGGGGGAAAAUUUAUUGCUAUUAGAUGAGCCUAUAUUAGAUUAGCUAGUUGGUGGAGUAAUAGCCUACCAAGGCAAUGAUCUAUAGCUGAUCUGAGAGGAUGAUCAGCCACACUGGAACUGAGAUACGGUCCAGACUCCUACGGGAGGCAGCAGUGGGGAAUAUUGGACAAUGGGCGAAAGCCUGAUCCAGCCAUGCCGCAUGAGUGAAGAAGGCCUUUGGGUUGUAAAGCUCUUUUAGUGAGGAAGAUAAUGACGGUACUCACAGAAGAAGUCCUGGCUAACUCCGUGCCAGCAGCCGCGGUAAUACGGAGAGGGCUAGCGUUAUUCGGAAUUAUUGGGCGUAAAGGGCGCGUAGGCUGAUUAAUAAGUUAAAAGUGAAAUCCCGAGGCUUAACCUUGGAAUUGCUUUUAAAACUAUUAAUCUAGAGAUUGAAAGAGGAUAGAGGAAUUCCUGAUGUAGAGGUAAAAUUCGUAAAUAUUAGGAGGAACACCAGUGGCGAAGGCGUCUAUCUGGUUCAAAUCUGACGCUGAAGCGCGAAGGCGUGGGGAGCAAACAGGAUUAGAUACCCUGGUAGUCCACGCUGUAAACGAUGAAUGUUAAAUAUGGGAAGUUUACUUUCUGUAUUACAGCUAAAA
rnacentral:rRNA from 1 species